rnacentral:rRNA from 1 species
UACGUAGGGUACGAGCGUUACUCGGAAUUACUGGGCGUAAAGCGUGCGCAGGCGGUUCGUUGUGUCGGCGGUGAAAGCCCCGGGCUCAACCUGGGAAUGGCCGUUGAAACUGGCGAACUGGAGUGUGGCAGAGGGGGGUGGAAUUCCGCGUGUAGCAGUGAAAUGCGUAGAGAUGCGGAGGAACACCGAUGGCGAAGGCAGCCCCCUGGGCUGACACUGACGCUCAGGCACGAAAGCGUGGGGAGCAAACAGG